ACGCAAAGUCUAAAACUAUUCCCCCUCUAAUCUCUCGCGUCUGCUCCUCUUUCUCUCUCUUCCCCUCUUCACUCAGUCUCGAUUUGCUUCUUCAAAUGCCGCAUGCUGCCGCCGCUGCUGAAGAACCAAAUUUUAAAGCCUUCUCUCACGAACAGUUCGUUGAUGUCGUUAGAUCUGAAGCUGCUGCUCCACCAGUUCAUAUGACAGGGGUACCCCCUUCUGAUAUGAAGAAGAAGAGAGAUAAGCCAUAGGAAGUAUGGCCCUGGUGGUGCUGUGGCGGCUGCAUUGUCGCCAAUGCCGAUUUCGGCAUUAAUUCCUCUGAGUAGAGACUUUUCAGGCUGGAAAAAACAUAGAGCAAGGCCUUUUCAGACAAUAAAGAAGCCAUAUUAAGUGGAGUUUGAGAGUCUAGAUGGGCGGUUGGUAAUCUGUACCAUGGGCAAGUCUACCCUAAGUAGUAAUCUUGUGGUUGUUUAAUGUAAUGUAUGUCAAUUCAUAUCUCUUAAGCGCUCAUGUUUUUCUUUUGAUUUUUAUGUAUCUGAUUUCUUUCUAACUUGUACUCUGUUUAUGGAAAUGAUGAUGUGAGAUUUCAUCACCCUUGUCAUCCCCACUUCUAAAUUAUCUAAAAUACAAAAAGUAAAGUUCGGCAUACCUAGUACCAAUGCCUUGAUUUUGGGUUCCCCUAUAAUGUUUGCAUUCUCUAAUAUGACUUGCAAUGUAACUUUCAAGUCCUUGUUUGUCUGGUGAAUAUGCUUAUGCUAUUUAGGACUUGUCUUCACCCUUCUUAGAUAAACAUAUCUAGUGGCAAAGGAUGUGUGCGUAUAAAAGGACAUCUGCACUACAGUAAUUACCUUGCUGUUCUAUAGUCAUGAGACUCUGCAAUGAGAUUUUAGAAUAUUGGGUUUUUAAGUAUUUAUUGAACUUUUUUGGUGUUUGAUUUUUUGGGUUUUUUACAUGAGACUUGAGUCUUGAAUAGUUUGGUUCAUAUUCAGAGCCACUCAUUUUCCACAUAAGCUGAAAUCUUGUCAUGUUAGAUUUUGUAGUAUACAGGAAAGGCAGCUUUUCUAUUGUAUACUCCUUGCUGAUUUAAUUUGAUGCUACUCUGGUAAACUCAGUACUGAAGUUUUUGACUUUACUUCCUUUUUCUGAGAAUCAACAAUGGCCUUUUACUUAGAUAAACAAGCAAAACCCAUUGGGAAUGCGUGUAUGCAUUGUGUAUUUUCUUCGUUUUACUGCUUAUUUAUUUGCGAGGGAAAUGGAUUACACAGGUUUGUGUAUUUUGAUAGUAUUUCUUUUUUUUCCAGGGAGUUAGACCAGAUUUUUAUUGAAUCAGUAAAUUAUCUGCCGGUUAAAUCAUUUGGUCAUUCCCCUUUCCAUAUCCUCAUCUUGUUUGUUUAAAUGUGCAGCAUUCCUCAUUUAAAAACUGUAACGCAGCUGCUUGCAAACAUGGAAAACUCCCAUGGAAAAAUUUUAGUGUUUGUGUUUCUUUGAACCCAUAAUUGUAUUUCUUAUAAUUUGCAAUUGUUGUUUAUUAGUAGUAUUUCUUGUAUUCAGGAACAAAAAUAUAUGAAAUAUAACUUUUUACCUAUAUAUAA